UUCGGAGUUGCUCAUCACAAACAUUGAGGCCAAAUGGCCUGGCGGUGUCCAUGAUGCUAGGAUACUAAGGGAAAGCCAUCUGGCACAAAGGCUUGCACAAGGUAAGACAACCUUCAUCAUGUCUCAACACUAGUAUGGAUGAGGGUCUGCAAAGAUGAAUGAAUGAAUCAUGUAAUUCAUAGCCACUGUUUUCUCACCUUGCAGGGGGGUUUGAGGGGGUCCUUCUCCGGGACAGGGGUUAUCCCUGCCUCCCAAACCUUUUAACCCCAUAUCCUGAGCCAAGGGCUGCAGCUGAGGCAGCAUUUAAUAAUGCCCUCAGCACCACCAGGGCACGAAUUGAGAUGGUUUUUGGCCUGCUCAAGUCCAGGUUAAAGGCUGCUUUGAUCAACCUUUAAUGCAGAAAAUAUCUUUGUACAAAAUUUUAUUUUAACAUGUCAUCUUGUUCCAAUCUCUGCAGGUUCCAGUGCCUAAAAUAUCUGAGGCAGGCUCCUGACCGGGCCUGCGACAUAGUGGUUGCGUGCGCAGUACUCCACAACAUAGCCACCAUCCGGAGGGAGAGGCUUCCACAGCUUCUCCCCGAAGACAGAUGGGAAGAGCCUGCCCCUGUACAGGGACCCAGAGAUGGGAGGAUCCUGAGGAAUCUGUACAGGGACACCUAUUUCUCUUGAACCCAACCCCCCUAUUUUGUUAAAUUCCUUGUCAUGUCCAUUUAUUUGGCCUAGCCACUUUUUUCUCCCACCCCACAUUGUAGAGGCAAGGCACAUUUAUUUGUAUGGCCCAUUUUCACAAGCAGUAUGACACAAAGGGCUUUACAUAUCAACAUAACAUCCUCUACCCUUAGACCCUCACUGAAACAAGACAGAAUGACAAGACAAAAUGGCUUUUGAAUAUUUAUUGUCCUGAGUCACCAAGCUGGGGAGACAGAAUGUUAC